GCGGCCGCUACGUCAGCGCCCCGGGUGGCGCCGCCUCCGCCCGCCGGCCUGGGCCCCGCUCCCGCCGCCGGGAAGGCGGGCCGCGGUAGAAGCUGGGGGCUGCCUUGCUUCCUCGUACGAUCCGGUGAACUUUCCCGAUGCUCCGGCAAAAGUCAGGGGACCCGAGAGUGAACUGUUGUAGGACACAGCUUACCUGGCAUUGGUGCCGCCCAGGACCCCUUAUUACAACCCAUUGACCCCCAGACCUUAGGAGCGGAGGACAGUCCAGUCUGUAAGUCAGCUGUGUUCCUGGGGCCCGUGGAGGAUAGAAGAGAGCGUCAGAUCUUCUUAGGCUGGAGACACAGACUCUUGUGAGCUGCCCUGUGAGUGCCGGGACUUGAACCUGGGUCGUCUUGAACAGCAGCCAAAUACUUUUAACUCCUGAGCCAUCACUUCAGCAUCUCCUCCACUCCUUCUUUAAAACAGUCUCUUGUAGCCAUAACUGAAAACUACCUUGAAGCCUGAAUCCUCC
rnacentral:lncRNA from 1 species